rnacentral:rRNA from 1 species
GAUGAACGCUGGCGGCGUGCCUAAUACAUGCAAGUCGAGCGAACAGAUAAGGAGCUUGCUCCUUUGACGUUAGCGGCGGACGGGUGAGUAACACGUGGGUAACCUACCUAUAAGACUGGGAUAACUUCGGGAAACCGGAGCUAAUACCGGAUAACAUUUGGAACCGCAUGGUUCUAAAGUGAAAGAUGGUUUUGCUAUCACUUAUAGAUGGACCCGCGCCGUAUUAGCUAGUUGGUAAGGUAACGGCUUACCAAGGCAACUAUACGUAGCCGAACUGAGAGAGUGAUAGGCCACAUGAGAACGGAGCCGCGGUCAUGACGCCUGAGGGAGGCACCAGUAGGGAAUGGUACGCAAUAGGCGAAAGCCUGACGGAGCAACGCCGCGUGAGUGACGAAGGGUUUCGGUGCGUAAAAAUGUGUUAUUAGGGAAGAACAGACGUGUAAGUAACCGUGCACGUAUUGACGGUAACGAAUAAGAAAGCAACGGCUAACUACGUG